UACGGGGGGGGCAAGCGUUGUUCGGAAUUACUGGGCGUAAAGGGCCCGUAGGCGGCCAACUAAGUCCGACGUGAAAUCCCAAGGCUUAACCUUGGAACUGCGUCGGAUACUGGAUGGCUUGAAUUCGGGAGAGGGAUGCAGAAUUCCAGGUGUAGCGGUGAAAUGCGUAGAUAUUGGGAGGAACACCAGUGGCGAAGGCGGCUCACUGGACCGGAACUGACGCUGAGGCGCGAAAGCGUGGGGAGCAAACGGG
rnacentral:rRNA from 1 species